GUGCCAGCCGCCGCGGUAAUACGAAGGUGGCGAGCGUUGUUCGGAUUCACUGGGCAUAAAGGGCGCGUAGGCGGUGCCGUAAGCGGCGAGUGAAAUCCCAGGGCUCAACCCUGGGACUGCUCGCCGUACUGCGGUGCUCGAGUGCGGGAGGGGGGUGUGGAACUCUAGGUGGAGCGGUGAAAUGCGUAGAUAUCUAGAGGAACACCGGUGGCGAAAGCGACACCCUGGCCCGCAACUGACGCUGAGGCGCGAAAGCGUGGGUAGCAAACAGGAUUAGAAACCCCAGUAGUCC
rnacentral:rRNA from 1 species